rnacentral:rRNA from 1 species
GAUGAACGCUGGCGGCGUGCCUAAUACAUGCAAGUCGAGCGAACAGACGAGGAGCUUGCUCCUCUGACGUUAGCGGCGGACGGGUGAGUAACACGUGGAUAACCUACCUAUAAGACUGGGAUAACUUCGGGAAACCGGAGCUAAUACCGGAUAAUAUAUUGAACCGCAUUGUUCAAUAGUGAAAGACGGCUUUGCUGUCACUUAUAGAUGGAUCCGCGCCGCAUUAGCUAGUUGGUAAGGUAACGGCUUACCAAGGCAACGAUGCGUAGCCGACCUGAGAGGGUGAUCGGCAACACUGGAACUGAGACACGGUCCAGACUCCCACGGGAGGCAGCAGUAGGGAAUCUUCCGCAAAGGGCGAAAGCCUGACGGAGCAACGCCGCGUGAGUGAUGAAGGUCUUCGGAUCGUAAAACUCUGUUAUUAGGGAAGAACAAAUGUGUAAGUAACUAUGCACGUCUUGACGGUACCUAAUCAGAAAGCCACGGCUAACUACGUG